GGCCCCUGCUAUAUGAUCUUCUUAACAAAGCAAGGUUUCAUGAUUUAAAGUUUUUUAAAAAAAAGUCUCCCCUUUUGUUCAAAAAAAUCCUGUGGACGUUAUACCCAAACAAACAACAAUAUUAUGAAAUAUGAAUCAAAAAUUAAAUAUCUUACUUUAAAAUAUUUGUAUGCAAUCUCCCACACUGUACAUCAAAUCUUUCUUCUAUGUAUUCAACCUCCCAAAAAUCUUCAUCCCAACACAAGGGAUGCAUCGAAUAAGUUUGAACAUCCUUAUUUCGUUGUCGAGAAUUUCGAAGAUUCAGAUCAAACAUUCAGAAAGGAAUGUUGCAGAAUGAACCUUUGUCAACAAAUACUGAAAAAUCAGGGUCAUGAAAAUGAAGUUAAAAGCAUGUAAUCUUUAUUAAGUUUUGUGGUAAACAUCUGGUUCACUGCUUGCAACAUGUAGCCGAGAUAAAUGUGUGUAGAUAUGGGAAUUUUUUUCUUAGCGAAUGAGUAUGAUUGUGUUUUUGUGCUGCAAGGACAUACACAAGAUGUUAAAAUGGUCGAGUGGCAUCCAACUAUUGAUAUUCGAACGAUGUUUGGCACAAAGCAUUUCUUUAUAAAAAAAAUAGAUGAUGACAUUGUAGUUCAAAAAGAUUUAACUGGAGUGUGGAAUAUUGAGAUCGAUGGAAAGGUGAAUGGGGAUGUUAAGACCUGUUUUGGAUCAUUUCAUCGUUCUGCUCAAUAUUUGAACAUUUCACAUCCGUUGGGAUAAGUUUAAUCGAAAGACCUGUGCAUGUGCUUUUGGCAUAAAUAUAAUUUGACCGUGAUGCUUGGAGGCGUGAAACUUAAUAAGCUAAUACCAUGAUUGGCAGAACUUGUAAUGGAAAAUGGUCGGUUGAUGUACUCAAGGUCACAAUGCGCCGCCAAUGAGCAGCAUGGAGCAGCUUUUCUUGGCUGUUCAUAAUGCAAUUUCUCAAGCUAAGGAGAUUGUACAUUAUAUUAUUCUUAAGUAGGACCUUAACGACUAAAACAGAGGAUCAAAUGCGGUAACGAAGCCUUCCAUUUUGUUGCCAUGUUUAUAUGUCAUGAAUAUUGUACGAGUUUCACACUUUCGAUUGAUGCAGUUUUCACUUA